GUCUCUUGAAUCAUCCAGCCAAAACACAAACUAGCUAAUUAAAAGCACCAUGUAAUUCAUCAUAUUUCCAAUAUUGACAAGACCAUUUUUGUCAAUUCUUAAGUUCGACUUAGCAUUUUCCAUGAAUCCAAGUGAAGCCCUUUUCUUAGGUGAGUGUUAAGAUAUACACAUCAACAAAGCAAAGCCUUCCAGAUAACUUGCACCAGAUGCUUAAUCCCAGAACUUGCAGAUUGAACGAAUCAGAUUUAUUCUCUAGCUUCUCACAUGGAUUCUUCCGGCCUGUCUACAGUUGUCCAUAGCUGUGUUAAUUAGUUUAGUUAUUUAGUUUAGUUACUCAAUUUCUCUAUAAAUACCAGACCUUGUAUAGCUUGUAGAUCAUUGGAUUGUAGUUUCUCUCCAAUCCCUCCUUAUGGAGGUUUCUUCUCCUCCUACAAUGGAGUGUCUUUUAUAUAGAACUUAGUCCAGUUCCAUUUGCAUUCCUUUCCUCCUUUUAUGGAGUUCAAUUCAAUAUUGUUUCUUGCUUCAAUGAUGAAGCCUUUCAUAUUGUUUUCAUUCAAGNNN
rnacentral:lncRNA from 1 species